ensembl:lncRNA
UGCUCAUCUCCUUCAGGCUUCUUUCCACAGCUCCAUCUCUAAUCUGGGAGCUGUUGCCUUUCUGUCAUGGUUAUCAGGUGGAGAGUUUACUCUGUCCUGCACUGGUGGUGCUCGUACUGCUUGYAUCUCCUUGCUGUUUGGCAGCACUUCCUCACUUAAGCUGACGAGUUAACUGCCUUUGCAAGAAGGGUGUUGGAGGAUUCUUCCAGGGGAUGCUUGAGAGCAGAAACCCACUACGAGGACUCCCUUCCUCUCUGUGCCAGCGUCUCAUCCCACAGCGUACAGGGAGAACGCAGAAGCUACCAGGAUCCAUGAAGUUCCUCCUUGAGCAUCAUUUCAAAUUUUCAGUGCAUUUAGAAGGUCUUCAAAAGGGUAUUUUCGGCAUUGCUCGUCUGACUUUGGAAUACAAGGAGUGUCGGCUCUGGUGUCUGCUGGCUUCAGCGAGGGCUGGUGGGCGUCCGGGCAGCCCGUUACUGUCUGGUGAGGGGGGGAAAAUUUGUCACCCCGACGGCUUUUCCUCUUUGUUAAGGGGAAAUGAAGCAUCCCGCCGUCAUCCCACUGCAC